rnacentral:rRNA from 1 species
CUUAGUUCGUGGAGUGAUCUGUCUGCUUAAUUGCGUUUCAAAAUUUAAACCUGAGCGACAAGGUGCUGCUAUCGAAACUGUCUUUGAGUGUGAACUAUAAGUCUUUUGACUUAUGACCAUCACUCUAGACGUUUAUGUUUUGGUGUUGGCCCUUGAUGCUCAUUUGAACGCAACGGACGUGAUUGCAACCCCUUGUUGAGAUUUAUCCGAUCUCUACGUUCACUGAACCACACUCUUUAGCGAGAGCAGUGGGGAUGUGGAUAAACUCGGGGGACUGCUGACUAUAAACUUUUCUCAAACCAGAGGAAGGUUGCGGCAAUAACAGGUCUGUGAUGCCCUCAGAUGUUCCGGGCUGCACACGUGCUACAUUUAGUAGCGCAGUGUGCACAUUAAUAGAGUGAUAGGUUCCGUGGUUUGUACAUUUUAAGGGCUCGUCCUAGUAACCAAAGCUCCACGGGACAUAUCAACCUUCCCCUUACAGGGCGGGUAACCUCUUCGAAGUGCUGGCAUGAUUUCCCUAGUUUUGGCAUUUGAAUCCUUGUCGCAGCAGCCCUGAGACGUAGUGAACGCUGCAAAGUGAUUCCAGUCUUAGGUUUGCGACACAUGCAAUUCCUGGUUGACUCAUCGUGG